rnacentral:misc_RNA from 1 species
GAAGUGCGAUAAGCAAUGCGAAUUGCAGAACCGUGAGUCAUCAGAUUUUUGAACGCAUCUGGCGCCGGCCGGGCCUGCAAGAGCGGGUGACGAAGCCCCAUACGCUCGAGGACCGGACGCGGUGCCGCCGCUGCCUUUCGGGCCCGUCCCCCGCGGACGGGGGACGGUGGCCCAACACACAAGCCGUGCUUGAGGGCAGCAAUGACGCUCGGACAGGCAUGCCCUCCGGAAUACCAGAGGGCGCAAUGUGCGUUCAAAGACUCGAUGAUUCACUGAAUUCUGCAAUUCACAUUAACUAUCGCGUUUCGCUGCGUUCUUCAUCGAUGCGUCCUUGAUAGG